AAAUUGAAGAGUUUGAUCAUGGCUCAGAUUGAACGCUGGCGGCAGGCCUAACACAUGCAAGUCGAACGGUAACAGGAAGAAGCUUGCUUCUUUGCUGACGAGUGGCGGACGGGUGAGUAAUGUCUGGGAAACUGCCUGAUGGAGGGGGAUAACUACUGGAAACGGUAGCUAAUACCGCAUAAUGUCGCAAGACCAAAGAGGGGGACCUUCAGGCCUCUUGCCAUCGGAUGUGCCCAGAUGGGAUUAGCUAGUAGGUGGGGUAACGGCUCACCUAGGCGACGAUC
rnacentral:rRNA from 1 species